AACAUCGCGCACCUGCGGGAACCUGCGGAAGGAUCAUUACAGAGUUGCAAAACUCCCUAAACCAUUGUGAACGUUACCUAAACCGUUGCUUCGGCGGGCGGCCCGGGUCCUUCCGGCGCCCAUCGGCCCUCGCGGGCGCCCGCCGGAGGUAAACCAAACUAUUGCAUUGUAUGGCCUCUCUGAGUCUUCUGUACUGAAUAAGUCAAAACUUUCAACAAUGGAUCUCAGAUCGGAAGAGCA
rnacentral:misc_RNA from 1 species